GGGCUGCAGUGGGGAAUUUUGGACAAUGGGGGCAACCCUGAUCCAGCCAUUCCGCGUGAGUGAAGAAGGCCUUCGGGUUGUAAAGCUCUUUCAGCUGGAAAGAAACGGUGAGCUCUAACAUAGCUUGCUAAUGACGGUACCAGCAGAAGAAGCACCGGCUAACUACGUGCCAGCAGCCGCGGUAAUACGGAGGGUGCAAGCGUUGUUCGGAAUUACUGGGCGUAAAGCGUGCGCAGGCGGAUUGUUAAGCAAGAUGUGAAAUCCCCGGGCUUAACCUGGGAAUGGCAUUUUGAACUGGCAGUCUAGAGUGUGUCAGAGGGGGGUGGAAUUCCACGUGUAGCAGUGAAAUGCGUAGAUAUGUGGAGGAACACCAAUGGCGAAGGCAGCCCCCUGGGAUAACACUGACGCUCAUGUACGAAAGCGUGGGUAGCAAACAGGAUUAGAUACCCCAGUAGUC
rnacentral:rRNA from 1 species